AUUGAACGCUGGCGGCAUGCCUUACACAUGCAAGUCGAACGGUAACAGGUUAAGCUGACGAGUGGCGAACGGGUGAGUAAUACAUCGGAACGUGCCCAGACGUGGGGGAUAGCUCGGCGAAAGCCGGAUUAAUACCGCAUAAGCUCUGAGGAGGAAAGCGGGGGACCGUAAGGCCUCGCGCGUUUGGAGCGGCCGAUGGCAGAUUAGGUAGUUGGUGGGGUAAAGGCUUACCAAGCCUACGAUCUGUAGCUGGUCUGAGAGGACGACCAGCCACACUGGGACUGAGACACGGCCCAGACUCCUACGGGAGGCAGCAGUGGGGAAUUUUGGACAAUGGGCGAAAGCCUGAUCCAGCAAUGCCGCGUGCAGGAUGAAGGCCUUCGGGUUGUAAACUGCUUUUGUACGGAACGAAAAGGCGCCUACUAAUACUGGGUGUUGAUGACGGUACCGUAAGAAUAAGCACCGGCUAACUACGUGCCAGCAGCCGCCGUAAGAC
rnacentral:rRNA from 1 species